ensembl:lncRNA
GGACUAAACCAGGACUAAACCAGGACUAAACCAGGACUAAACCUGGACUAAACCAGGUCUAAACCAGGUCUUAACCAGGACUAAACCAGGACUAAACCAGGACUAAACCAGGUCUAAACCAGGUCUUAACCAGGACUUAACCAGGACUAAACCAGGACUGAACCAGGACUAAACCAGGACUAAACCAGGACUAAACCAGGACUAAACCAGGACUAAACCAGGACUAAACCAGGACUAAACCAAGACUGAACCAGGACUAAACCAAGACUAAACCAAGACUGAACCAGGACUAAACCAGGACUAAACCAGGACUAAACCAGGACUAAACCAAGACUAAACCAAGACUGAACCAGGACUAAACCAGGACUAAACCAGGACUAAACCAGGACUAAACAAGGACUAAACAAGGACUAAACAAGGACUAAACCAAGACUGAACCAGGACUAAACCAGGACUAAACCAGGACUAAAACAGGACUGAACCAGGACUAAACCAGGACUAAACCAAGACUAAACCAGGACUAAACCAGGACUAAACCAGGACUAAACAAGGACUAAACCAGG